rnacentral:rRNA from 1 species
UUAAGUGACUAAGCGUACAGGGCGGAUGCCUUGGCAAUCAGAGGCGAAGAAGGACGUGCUAAUCUGCGAAAAGCUUGGAUGAGUCGAUAAGAGGCGUUUAAUCCAAGAUGUCCGAAUGGGGAAACCCGAUGGAUGAAGAAUCCAUCAUUUCAUUGUGAAUACAUAGCAAUGAAAGGCGAACCGGGAGAACUGAAACAUCUAAGUACCCCGAGGAAAAGAAAUCAACCGAGAUUCUGUGAGUAGCGGCGAGCGAAAGCGGAAGAGCCAGUAAGUUUUAGCUAGUGUAUUAGAGGAAUUGGCUGGGAAGCCAAAUCAAAGAGGGUGAUAAUCCCGUACUCGAAAAUACGAUAGUGGAACUAAGCUUACGAUAAGUAGGGCGGGACACGAGAAAUCCUGUUUGAAGAUGGGGGGACCAUCCUCCAAGGCUAAAUACUCCUGAUUGACCGAUAGUGAACCAGUACUGUGAAGGAAAGGCGAAAAGAACCCCGGUGAGGGGAGUGAAAUAGAACCUGAAACCCUGUACGUACAAGCAGUAGGAGCGAGGGAAACCUUGUGACUGCGUACCUUUUGUAUAAUGGGUCAGCGACUUAUAUUUUGUAGCGAGGUUAACUGAAUAAGGGAGCCGAAGGGAAACCGAGUCUUAACUGGGCGUUGAGUUGCAAGGUAUAGACCCGAAACCCGGUGAUCUAGCCAUGGGCAGGUUGAAGGUUGGGUAACACUAACUGGAGGACCGAACCGACUAAUGUUGAAAAAUUAGCGGAUGACUUGUGGCUGGGGGUGAAAGGCCAAUCAAACCGGGAGAUAGCUGGUUCUCCCCGAAAUCUAUUUAGGUAGAGCCUUGAGCGGACACCUUCGGGGUAGAGCACUGUUUCGGCUAGGGGUCCAUCCCGGAUUACCAACCCGAUGCAAACUGCGAAUACCGAAGAGUGAUACUCAGGAGACACACGGCGGGUGCUAACGUUCGUCGUGGAGAGGGAAACAACCCAGACCGCCAGCUAAGGUCCCAAAGUCUAUAUUAAGUGGGAAACGAAGUGGGAAGGCUUAGACAGCUAGGAUGUUGGCUUAGAAGCAGCCAUCAUUUAAAGAAAGCGUAAUAGCUCACUAGUCGAGUCGGCCUGCGCGGAAGAUGUAACGGGGCUCAAAUAUAGCACCGAAGCUGCGGCAUCAGAAUUUAUUCUGUUGGGUAGGGGAGCGUUGUGUAAGCGGAAGAAGGUGGCUCGAGAGGGUUGCUGGACGUAUCACAAGUGCGAAUGCUGACAUAAGUAACGAUAAAACGAGUGAAAAACUCGUUCGCCGGAAGACCAAGGGUUCCUGUCCAACGUUAAUCGGGGCAGGGUGAGUCGGCCCCUAAGGCGAGGCUGAAAAGCGUAGUCGAUGGGAAACGGGUUAAUAUUCCCGUACUUGGUAAAGCUGCGAUGUGGGGACGGAGAAGGUUAGGUAAGCGGACUGUUGGAAAUGUCCGUUUAAGUUGGUAGUUGGGAGCGGUAGGCAAAUCCGCUGCUCCAUUCAACAACGAGAGAUGAUGACGAGUUCCUAAGGGAAUGAAGUUACCGAUACCCGGCUUCCAGGAAAAGCCACUAAGCGAAAGGCUUUACUAAACCGUACUGAAAACCGACACAGGUGGUCAGGUAGAGAAUACUCAGGCGCUUGAGAGAACUCGGGUGAAGGAACUAGGCAAAAUAGCACCGUAACUUCGGGAGAAGGUGCGCUUACAGUAAUUGUAGUCCCUCGCGGAUGAAGGUGAAGUAAGUCGAAGAUACCAGCUGGCUGCAACUGUUUAUUAAAAACACAGCACUCUGCAAACACGAAAGUGGACGUAUAGGGUGUGAUGCCUGCCCGGUGCUGGAAGGUUAAUUGAUGGUGUUAUCGAAAGAGAAGCUCCUGAUCGAAGCCCCAGUAAACGGCGGCCGUAACUAUAACGGUCCUAAGGUAGCGAAAUUCCUUGUCGGGUAAGUUCCGACCUGCACGAAUGGCAUAAUGAUGGCCAGGCUGUCUCCACCCGAGACUCAGUGAAAUUGAAAUCGCCGUGAAGAUGCGGUGUACCCGCGGCUAGACGGAAAGACCCCGUGAACCUUUACUAUAGCUUGACACUGAACAUUGAAUUUUGAUGUGUAGGAUAGGUGGGAGCCUUUGAAGCAGUGACGCCAGUCAUUGUGGAGGCGACCUUGAAAUACCACCCUUUAACGUUUGAUGUUCUAACGAAGUGCCUGAAACGGGUACUCGGACAGUGUCUGGUGGGUAGUUUGACUGGGGCGGUCUCCUCCCAAAGCGUAACGGAGGAGCACGAAGGUUUGCUAAUGACGGUCGGACAUCGUCAGGUUAGUGCAAUGGUAUAAGCAAGCUUAACUGCGAGACGGACAAGUCGAGCAGGUGCGAAAGCAGGUCAUAGUGAUCCGGUGGUUCUGAAUGGAAGGGCCAUCGCUCAACGGAUAAAAGGUACUCCGGGGAUAACAGGCUGAUACCGCCCAAGAGUUCAUAUCGACGGCGGUGUUUGGCACCUCGAUGUCGGCUCAUCACAUCCUGGGGCUGAAGUAGGUCCCAAGGGUAUGGCUGUUCGCCAUUUAAAGUGGUACGCGAGCUGGGUUUAGAACGUCGUGAGACAGUUCGGUCCCUAUCUGCCGUGGGCGUUGGAUGAUUGAUUGGGGCUGCUCCUAGUACGAGAGGACCGGAGUGGACGCAUCACUGGUGUUCCAGUUGUCUCGCCAGAGGCAUUGCUGGGUAGCUAAAUGCGGAAGAGAUAAGUGCUGAAAGCAUCUAAGCACGAAACUUGCCAAGAGAUGAGUCAUCCCUGACUUUAAGUCAGUAAGGGUUGUUUAAGACUAAGACGUAGAUAGGUUGGGUGUGUAAGUGUAGUGAUACAUUGAGCUAACCAAUACUAAUUGCCCGAGAGGCUUAACCAU